rnacentral:lncRNA from 1 species
AUAGUCGAAGUUCUUUCGGACUUAACUCUUCAUGUGGGAAUUAGAAAAUACCAAGGUUGGAACUCCCUAAAUACAAUGGAGGUGAUGAUGUCAGAGGUUGGAUUCGGAAAGCUGACAACUAUUUUUCAAUUAAUCCAAUUGAAAAAUCUCAAAUGGUACUCUUCGCUUCUUUGCAUCUAGAAGGACAAGUUGAUAUUUGGUUUCAAUCCAUGUAUGAAUCUCUAGAUGGAAUUACUUGGGCUGACUUCACUGUUUCUAUCAGAGCAAGGUUUUCACCUGAAUCA